ensembl:snRNA Gm23244 predicted gene, 23244
UUGCUUCGGCAGCACAUAUACUAAAAUUGGAACGAUACAGAGAAGAUUAGCAUGGCCCCUGUGCAAGGAUGACACUCAAUCUCCAUUUCUUA